GACGAACGCUGGCGGCGUGCUUAACACAUGCAAGUCGAACGGAAAGGCCCUGCUUUUGUGGGGUGCUCGAGUGGCGAACGGGGGAGUAACACGUGAGUAACCUGCCCUUGAAUUUGGGAUAACUCCAGGAAACUGGGGCUAAUACCGGAUAGGAUCUCCUGCAGCGCGGUGUGGGUUGGAAAGUUUCGGCGUUGCGGGCUGGACUGGAAGCUUAUCAGCUUGUUGGUCGGGUAGUGGCUUACCAAGGCUUUGACGGGUAGCCGGCCUUGGAGGGUGACCGGCCACAUUGGGACUGAGGUACGGCCCAGUAGGCAACGUGCGGCAACAGGGGGAAGUAUUACGCAGUGACGGGAAGCCAGAUGCAGCGGCGCUGCGUGCGUGAUACCGGCCUUCUGGUUGUAAACCGCUGUCGACUGUGACGAGGCGAGAGUGACGGUAAUGGAUAAGGAAGCACCGGCUAACUACGUG
rnacentral:rRNA from 1 species